rnacentral:rRNA from 1 species
AUUGAACGCUGGCGGCAGGCCUAACACAUGCAAGUCGAACGAGUCGCGGACGGGUGUGUAAUGUCUGGGAAACUGCCUGAUGGAGGGGGAUAACUACUGGAAACGGUCGCUAAUCCCGCAUACCCUCAUGUGUCCCCAGAUGGGUUUAGCUUGUUGGUGGGGUAACGGCUCACCAAGGCGACGAUCCCUAGCUGGUUUGAGAGGAUGACAAUCAACACUGGAACUGAGACACGGUCCAGACUCCUACGGGAGGCAGCAGUGGGGAAUAUUGCACAAUGGGCGAAAGCCUGAUGCAGCCAUGCCGCGUGUGUGAAGAAGGCCUUCGGGUUGUAAAGUACUUUCAGCGGGGAGGCGUUACCCGCAGAAGAAGCACCGGCUAACUCCGUGCCAGCAGCCGCGGUAAUUC